UACGUAGGGGGCAAGCGUUGUCCGGAAUCAUUGGGCGUAAAGCGCGUGUAGGCGGCUCGAUAAGUCUGCUGUGAAAGUUCAGGGCUCAACCCUGAAAUGCCGGUGGAAACUGUCGGGCUAGAGUCCGGAAGAGGCGAGUGGAAUUCCUGGCGUAGCGGUGAAAUGCGCAGAUAUCAGGAGGAACACCAAUGGCGAAGGCAGCUCGCUGGGACGGUACUGACGCUGAGACGCGAAAGCGUGGGGAGCGAACAGG
rnacentral:rRNA from 1 species